UUUAUGUAUAUAUUUAACAAAAAAAAAAAAGCUGGACGAGAUCAAUUAUUUGGAGCUUCUUUGGAGUGCUGCUUAUCAAGAGACAAAAAACAAUGCGGAGAAGUGGAAACAAGCCCAAAACAUUCGCUGGCAUCAGUACUUCGGAGAAAUCGAGUUGGAAAACUGAAUGAUAAUGUGCGGUCUUAUGAGAGCUUGCCAACUAAGUCGAUGGAUUACGGACGUUGUAGUCCUUCAGAUCAGGUGGCUUCUUCUACAGACUACUUAAACAAUCU